CAUGUCUCGUGUAUAAAUAUACAAUUGACUUUGGUGUUGAUCUUGCAUCCUGUGAUCAGAUCUUCUGAAGACCUACCACUUAUUUACUCACUCAAUCAGUAAGUGGUGAAUUUAAAUGCUGAAACAGUACUACUCAACAUACCUUCUGUGAGUCAACUGUUAUGAGCAACACCUGGAUCUCAUUAGAAAUGCAGAAUACGAGGUCCCAUCCAAGACUCAGUGAGUAAGAAUUUCCAGAGUUGAGCCCAGGACUGUCUACCUGCUUUAACAAGCCCUCCAACAGAAUCUCCAUGUACUAGAUUUCGAGAUGUGCUAGGCUGAAGUAUGUGCAUCCUUCAGAAAUCAAAAUCUUCUGGAUUCAUUUUACAUUUAAUCGUCCUUCACUAUUUCCCUUUAGUACUAUCUCUACUAGAAAGGUAAGUUUUUUAAUAAUUUUCCCUUUGCCAGAGAUUCCUACAAGCCCAAAUUUCUCCCACAGCCUUAGAAACACCUUUGUUAAUUCUUGGGUCUUCUCCAUCUAAUUUGUAUAAUUUUACGUCUGAUACUCUCCAUCCUUUCACACCAAAUUAGUCCCUAUGGUUCCAGCUUCCAAUGGGUGACCCACAUCUCUAAGAUCUGAUACCAUUUGCUCAUUUUGUCCUUGUUUUAGUUCUUUGCCAUGAAUGCUUAUCACUAGUUGCCACACUGUCCACUGUUCGGCUUAUCAAUUCUUGCAUCACCUGUAUAACUCAUUCCCUCCAUUAAACUCUGCCAUUUUAAAAUACUUCAUUAUUUUUCUUUUACAGUUUGAACACUUACUGAGGAAUGUGCUAAAUAACUUUUUUCUUCUAUCCUGUAUCUUUCCUCUUUACUUUCCCUCUUAUCUGUUCUAGCACUUUCAAAAAUCUGGACUUUGGGUUAAUUUUUUUCAUACUCUGAUUCUACCACUUUUUAUCUAUGUGACCUUGAACAAGUUACCAUCCAGAACCAGUUUCCGCAACCGUAAAAUAGGGAUAAAAUUAUCUACAUCUUAAAAAGCAAUGUAAGAAUAUAGUGGUUAAGCUUAGUGGGGUGCAUUUAGAGAAAACAGGCAGAACUCAAACCCUGCUUUCAUCCAUUUCUAGCCGUGUGAUUUAAGCAAGUAAUUUGAUAUGUGUCAGCCUCAGUUUCCUCCAUAAAAUGUGUAUAAUUAUUGUAAAACUCCCAUAGACUAUUUUGAGGACUAAAGGAGAUAACAGAUAUAAAACAUUUAGUAGGAUAUCUGGUACCUGCCAAAUACUCAAUACUUACUACUACCAUCACCAUCACCAUCAUUAUCAUAAUUAUCAUGGUAAUUAUAUACUAGAGAUCACAAUGAAGGUGGUACCCUCUUUCAUUUUCUCCUAAACUGUUUUCUCUCUCCCAUCUACUUCUUUUUAACCAUUUCUAUUUCUAUUCUUCUGAACUACUCAGAAAAAUUGUAACAAAGUUGGCUUACAUUUUUAAACUUAUCUAAUGAAGCUCUUUUCUACAUAAUUUUGAAAUCAGGCAAAACAAAAGAUAGUACAAUAUAUCCAUAAUGCCACUAUUCAUAGUCCAAAAUAGAUGCCUAUUAUAGUAGAAGGAGAAAUAACCUGUAAUAUAUUCACAUAGUAGAAUAUUAUACAGCAAUGAGAAUGAAUGCAUACAACUACAUGCAACAAUAUAAACAAAUCUCAGAAAUAUAAUGUUGAGCCAAAGCAACUAGAUAAAAGAGAGGACAUAGUGAAUGAUUCCAUUCACACAAAGUUAAAAAACAGGCAAACCAAUCUAUGAUGUGAGAAGUCAGAAUAAUGAUUAACCUUGGUGACUGGAAGACAGUAUACAGGAUGACCUCUGGGGAGCUGGUCAUCAUCUGUUCCUUGACCCAACUGCUUAUCACACAAGUGUACUCGCUUAGUGAGAACUCAUAUAUCUGACCGCUCAUAUCUGUACACAUUUAUCUAUAUAUGUUUUAACUCAACAGAGAAAAAAAGAGCAAGUGGACUAAUUAUUCUUUAAUAUUACCUCCAGAAAAAAUGCAACAACUUUAUAUUUAUGGCCAUAAAAUUAUUUUCCCUUUCAAUAUAGGAACUCUUUCAAUAGGAACAAAAUAUACUUCUCGUUGACUACAGGGCUACUGCUGAAUUUCUAUUUAAUUCUGUGGCAUGUGAAUGAAAUCAGUAACAAUUGUCAUUAAUUGCCUCUCACAGUUCUUAGGAAAAAUAAUAAUUGUGUAAAAUGAUUGGAGUAUGGCAAAAAAACAUUGAACUUCAAGAUGGCAAAAAGCAGUUUCUUGUCCCAGUUCUUUUGUUGUCCUAUUAAAUGCUUCAUGAGAACACUUGUGCUUGAGUUUAUCUGUAACGUAUUAAUGAUGAUAUCAUAUGACUACCUGUCUGGAGCUGUCAACAGAAACAAAUGAGGUGGUCCACGUACGAACUUUUUGAAAGAAGGUAUGAAAUCGUGAAUACAUCACACCACCCAGAAAUCCCCCAUGGUGCGCUUUACAAUGCAACAGAACCUCAUAGUUCCCAUUGUAUACUCUUUCAAUUAUAAUAGAUGAAAUACUUGAAAAUGCUUGGUAGAAAUACCAUAGAAGUUAUAAUGACCUUUGCAACAAAAGGAGUAAAUCUAGUGGCAUUUUAGAGUUUUCUUAUAAUUGGAUGUUUUCUUUUUUUUUUUUUUUUUUUCUAUUUUGACCUUAGUUUCCCCAGUGUAUGCCAUUUUUAGGCUCCAAUAGUUCAGAGAAACUGCAAUUUCACUGAGACUUGACCUACAGAAUCAGAGAUUCAGGAUUCUAGUCACUUUGCUGAGAUGGAUCCAAGGUAUAGAAAGAAGUCAGAUGUCAGCCCAAAGGUCAGGCUGCAACAAAAGUGCUUACCUUGAAUGAUUUAGCUAUGAUAUGAGUUUACUCUGUAACAUAAGUAGCAUGGUUGGGCAGUGUUCAAGAACCUGGCUGUAUAAUGAAGAAAGGAGAAAAGACAGAAUUUAGCCCAAAUGUGAUGAAAGCCAAUUGACAUGAAGACAAUCAUCACGUUCAUCUUGGUCCAGUAAGAAUUUGAUAUUCACUCUGAUAGGAGAUUUGCAAUAUGACUCCAGUUAAGGUGGCAAUUUGAAACUCUCCUGCUUUGACUUCUGGAACUUGCUUCUGCCAAAUCAGUGGUGACUUUCAGGUAUAGGCCUAUGGCUGGAAACUAAAAUCAGAAGACUCCAACCUCCAGCUCUGAGAACCUACACUGAUAGCUCCAUCCAACUUCAACCACAAGUAGUGGGUCCAAAUCACAACACUCCAAUGAUGGAUUACACUGUCUCUGUCUUUUGCAGCACUUUGUUCAAAGAUAAAAGAUUCUCUGCAGUGGUGAUGAGGGCUAGUUCACUCAGCCCUUAGAUGCAGAUUCUGAGAGAUAGAGUACACAUAACUUUUAGAUAACAGGUGCUUUUAAAGAAAAUUUGAUUCUUUGAAAUUAAGUUAAGGUUUGUUUUAUAUAAUUUGCAGUCAAUUUUCAUAAAUCUCAUGUGUGUUUCAAAGAAAUGAGUAUUCUCUAUUUGUUGCCUUUAGGAAUCUAUGUAUCUUCAUUAUAUCAUGACUGUUAAUUGUUUUUCACAUGUUCUAUACCCUUCCUAAUGCUUUGUCUGCUUGAUCUAUCAAUUACCAGAAUAGGUAUUGCAGUCUGCCCCUCUGAAUUCAUAUCACAUGCAUAUAAAUUUUAAGUUACUAAACUUCCCUCCGUGAAAUCAAGCUCUUAUCAUUGUGUAGUUACCUUCUUUAUCUUGAAUAAUUAUUCUAAUUUAAGGUCGAUUUUCCCUGAUAAUAAUAUAAGUAAACCAACUUUCUUUUGGUUAGCAUUUGCCUGAUUUAUCUUAGUCCAUCUUUUUACUUUCUAUUUUCCUGUAACUUUCCUUAUAUUCCUUAGGUAUUCUGACCACGUGUGUCUUUUGGCUAAUGAAUUUAUUCCAUUUAUAAUUUAUUUAUGUUUCUUUAUAUGCAUUUAUAUGUAUAUAUAAUAUAUAUGUAUUUCUUCCAUAUAGUUAUUUACUUUUUGUUACUUUUUAUAUUCUGCUUUUGUUCUUUCAACUGUUUUUGUUUUUG
rnacentral:lncRNA from 1 species